AGUCACAACCAUACAACCCUGAACACACCAGAGCUCAUCUGAUCUCGAAAGCUAAGCAGGGUUGGCCUGAUUAGUAGUUGGAUGGAAGACAGAUCUUUAGAAGAGACUG
rnacentral:rRNA from 1 species